rnacentral:rRNA from 1 species
GUCUAGGGCCAUGCCACCCUUAACAAGCUGGAUUCGUCUGAUCUCAGAAGCUAAGCAGGGUCAGGCCUGGUUAGUACUUGGAUGGGAGACCACCUAAAACGACCAGGUGCUGUAGGCG